GGGGGCAACCCUGGUGGCGAGUGGCGAACGGGUGAGUAAUACAUCGGAACGUGUCCUGUAGUGGGGGAUAGCCCGGCGAAAGCCGGAUUAAUACCGCAUACGCUCUACGGAGGAAAGGGGGGGAUCUUAGGACCUCCCGCUACAGGGGCGGCCGAUGGCAGAUUAGCUAGUUGGUGGGGUAAAGGCCUACCAAGGCGACGAUCUGUAGCUGGUCUGAGAGGACGACCAGCCACACUGGGACUGAGACACGGCCCAGACUCCUACGGGAGGCAGCAGUGGGGAAUUUUGGACAAUGGGGGCAACCCUGAUCCAGCAAUGCCGCGUGUGUGAAGAAGGCCUUCGGGUUGUAAAGCACUUUUGUCCGGAAAGAAAACGCCGUGGUUAAUACCCGUGGCGGAUGACGGUACCGGAAGAAUAAGCACCGGCUAACUACGUGCCAGCAGCCGCGGUAAUACGUAGGGUGCAAGCGUUAAUCGGAAUUACUGGGCGUAAAGCGUGCGCAGGCGGUCCGCUAAGACAGAUGUGAAAUCCCCGGGCUUAACCUGGGAACUGCAUUUGUGACUGGCGGGCUAGAGUAUGGCAGAGGGGGGUAGAAUUCCACGUGUAGCAGUGAAAUGCGUAGAGAUGUGGAGGAAUACCGAUGGC
rnacentral:rRNA from 1 species